rnacentral:rRNA from 1 species
GACGAACGCUGGCGGCGUGCUUAACACAUGCAAGUCCAACGGGAUCCGGGCUUUCGGGUUUGGUGAGAGUGGCGAACGGGUGAGUAACACGUGAGUAACCUGCCCCCUUCUUUGGGAUAACGUCGGGAAAUCGGCGCUAAUACUGGAUAUUCUUGCUGCAUCGCAUGGUGUGGUUUGGAAAGGGUUUCUGGUGGGGGAUGGGCUCGCGGCCUAUCAGCUUGUUGGUGGGGUGAUGGCCUACCAAGGCUUUGACGGGUAGCCGGCCUGAGAGGGUGUCCGGCCACACUGGGACUGAGACACGGCCCAGACUCCUACGGGAGGCAGCAGUGGGGAAUAUUGCACAAUGGGCGCAAGCCUGAUGCAGCGACGCCGCGUGAGGGAUGACGGCCUUCGGGUUGUAAACCUCUUUCAGUAUGGAACAAGGAUCCUUCUUGUGGGGGGUUUGAGGGUACGUGCAGAAGAAGCGCCGGCUAACUACGUG